rnacentral:snRNA from 1 species
GGCUUUGCUCAGUGGCAGUAUUGUAGCCAAUGAGGUUUAUCUGAGGCGCGGUUAUUGCUAACUGAU